CCUACGGGAGGCAGCAGUGGGGGAUAUUGCACAAUGGGGGAAACCCUGAUGCAGCGACGCCGCGUGGGUGAAGAAGCGCCUCGGCGCGUAAAGCCCUGUCAGCAGGGAAGAAAAUGACGGUACCUGAAGAAGAAGCCCCGGCUAACUACGUGCCAGCAGCCGCGGUAAUACGUAGGGGGCAAGCGUUAUCCGGAUUUACUGGGGGUAAAGGGGGCGCAGGCGGCGAUGCAAGCCAGGCGUGAAAGCCCGGGGCCCAACCCCGGGACUGCUCUUGGAACUGCGUGGCUAGAGUGCAGGAGGGGCAGGCGGAAUUCCGGGUGUAGCGGUGAAGUGGGUAGAUAUCAGGAGGAACACCGGUGGCGAGGGCGGCCUGCUGGACUGCAACUGACGUUGAGGCCCGAAAGCGUGGGGAGCAAACAGGAUUAGAUACCCGGUAGUC
rnacentral:rRNA from 1 species